GAUGAACGCUGGCGGCGUGCCUAAUACAUGCAAGUCGAGCGAACAGACGAGGAGCUUGCUCCUCUGACGUUAGCGGCGGACGGGUGAGUAACACGUGGAUAACCUACCUAUAAGACUGGGAUAACUUCGGGCAACCGGAGCUAAUACCGGAUAAUAUAUUGAACCGCAUGGUUCAAUAGUGAACGACGGUUUUGUUGUCACUUAUAGAUGGAUCCGUGCCGCAUUAGCUAGUUGGUAAGGUAACGGCUUACCAAGGCGACGAUGCGUAGCCGACCUGAGAGGGUGAUCGGCCACACUGGAACUGAGACACGGUCCAGACUCCUACGGGAGGCAGCAGUAGGGAAUCUUCCGCAAUGGGCGAAAGCCUGACGGAGCAACGCCGCGUGAGUGAUGAAGGUCUUCGGAUCGUAAAACUCUGUUAUUAGGGAAGAACAAAUGUGUAAGUAACUAUGCACGUCUUGACGGUACCUAAUCAGAAAGCCACGGCUAACUACGUG
rnacentral:rRNA from 1 species